rnacentral:misc_RNA from 1 species
CCGAAUUGUCAACACGAGUUGUUGCUGGCCCUCCAACAGGGGGGCAUGUGCACGCUCUGUUCACACAUCCACUCACACCUGUGCACCCUCUGUAGUUCUAUGGUCUUGGAGGACACCGUCUUCUGGCCGUGGCUCUACAUCUUUACACACACACACACCGUAAUAAAGUCUCAUCGGAUGUACGUCGCGUCUAACGCAAUACAAUA